CUUCACCUUGCCUUCCACUUUUUAUUUCUCCAUAUCCCCAUUUUCACAUUGAUAUACCCUUUGUUUUCUUUCUUAUAUCAUUGUCUUCCAAAUCCAAUAGCAUUUUCCUCAUAUUUCCAUACCAGCCACUUCCCAUUUCACCCCUCUUCUUUUUUAUAUCACCUUCUUCACAAUGUCCUUUACAUUCUGGUACCCUUCCUCUUCAUAUUCUAAUACCCUCCAUUUGCAUUACACAAACGCUCUUAACAUUUCAGCUCCCAUUUUUUCCCCCAUAUUUCCCUGCUUGCCAUCUGUAUUCCAUAUUUUUUGUCUUUACA